rnacentral:rRNA from 1 species
UACAGAGGUCCCGAGCGUUGUUCGGAUUCACUGGGCGUAAAGGGUGCGUAGGUGGCUUGAAAAGUUUGAUGUGAAAGCUCAGGGCUUAACCCUGAAAUGGCAUUGAAUACUGUCGGGCUGGAGGUUUGGAGGGGGGACUGGAAUUCUUGGUGUAGCAGUGAAAUGCGUAGAUAUCAAGAGGAACACCAGUGGCGAAGGCGAGUCCCUGGACAACACCUGACACUGAGGCACGGAAGCUAGGGGAGCAAACAGG